rnacentral:rRNA from 1 species
UACGGAGGGGGCUAGCGUUGUUCGGAAUUACUGGGCGUAAAGCGCGCGUAGGCGGCUUUGUACGUUAGAGGUGAAAGCCCGGAGCUCAACUCCGGAAUUGCCUUUAAGACUGCAUCGCCAGAAUCAUGGAGAGGUUAGUGGAAUUCCGAGUGUAGAGGUGAAAUUCGUAGAUAUUCGGAAGAACACCAGUGGCGAAGGCGACUAACUGGACAUGUAUUGACGCUGAGGUGCGAAAGCGUGGGGAGCAAACAGG